UACGAAGGGGGCUAGCGUUGCUCGGAAUCACUGGGCGUAAAGGGCGCGUAGGCGGCUUGCCAAGUCGGGGGUGAAAGCCCUUGGCUUAACCGAGGAAGUGCAUCCGAAACUGGCGAGCUAGAGUACGAAAGAGGAUCGCGGAAUUCCCGGUGUAGAGGUGAAAUUCGUAGAUAUCGGGAGGAACACCGGUGGCGAAGGCGGCGAUCUGGGUCGAUACUGACGCUGAGGUGCGAAAGCGUGGGGAGCAAACAGG
rnacentral:rRNA from 1 species